GCAUGGGUUUUAUAUUAAAGAAAUUCGGUAUGAGAUGGGGAUGCGUUCCAUUAGUUUGUUGGGGGGGUAACGGCCCACCAAGACUACGAUGGAUAGGGGUUCUGAGAGGAAGGUCCCCCACAUUGGAACUGAGACACGGUCCAGACUCCUACGGGAGGCAGCAGUGAGGAAUAUUGGUCAAUGGACGCGAGUCUGAACCAGCCAAGUAGCGUGAAGGAUGACUGCCCUAUGGGUUGUAAACUUCUUUUAUAUGGGAAUAAAGUUGUCCACGUGUGGAUUUUUGUAUGUACCAUAUGAAUAAGGAUCGGCUAACUCCGUGCCAGCAGCCGCGGUAAUACGGAGGAUCCGAGCGUUAUCCGGAUUUAUUGGGUUUAAAGGGAGCGUAGGCGGAUUGUUAAGUCAGUUGUGAAAGUUUGCGGCUCGACCGUAAAAUUGCAGUUGAUACUGGCAGUCUUGAGUGCAGUAGAGGUGGGCGGAAUUCGUGGUGUAGCGGUGAAAUGCUUAGAUAUCACGAAGAACUCCGAUUGCGAAGGCAGCUCACUGGAGUGUAACUGACGCUGAUGCUCGAAAGUGUGGGUAUCAAACAGGAUUAGAUACCCUGGUAGUCCACACAGUAAACGAUGAAUACUCGCUGUUUGCGAUAUACAGUAAGCG
rnacentral:rRNA from 1 species